GGGGAUAUAGCUCAGUUGGUAGAGCGCACGCAUGGCAUGCGUGAGGUCACGGGUUCGACUCCCGUUAUCUCCACCA
rnacentral:tRNA from 1 species